rnacentral:rRNA from 1 species
GAUGAACGCUGGCGGCGUGCUUAACACAUGCAAGUCGAACGGAAAGGCCUCAGCUUGCUGGGGUACUCGAGUGGCGAACGGGUGAGUAACACGUGGGUGAUCUGCCCUGCACUUUGGGAUAAGCUUGGGAAACUGGGUCUAAUACCGAAUAUGACCACUUCUUGGAUGUUGUGGUGGAAAGCUUUUGCGGUGUGGGAUGAGCCUGCGGCCUAUCAGCUUGUUGGUGGGGUAAUGGCCUACCAAGGCGGCGACGGGUAUCCGGCCUGAGAGGGGGUACGGACACAUUGGGACUGAGAUACGGGCCAGACUCCUACGGGAGGGAGCAGUGGGGAAUAUUGCACAAUGGGCGCAAGCCUGAUGCAGCGACGCCGCGUGGGGGAUGAAGGCCUUCGGGUUGUAAACUCCUUUCGCUAUCGACGAAGCCACUUGUGGUGACGGUAGGUAGAUAAGAAGCACCGGCUAACUACGUGCCAGCAGCCGCGGUAA